GACUACCGGGGUAUCUAAUCCUGUUUGCUCCCCACGCUUUCGUGCAUGAGCGUCAGUGCAGGCCCAGGGGAUUGCCUUCGCCAUCGGUGUUCCUCCGCAUAUCUACGCAUUUCACUGCUACACGCGGAAUUCCAUCCCCCUCUGCCGCACUCUAGCCAUGCAGUCACAAAUGCAGUUCCCAGGUUGAGCCCGGGGAUUUCACAUCUGUCUUGCAAAGCCGCCUGCGCACGCUUUACGCCCAGUAAUUCCGAUUAACGCUUGCACCCUACGUAUUACCGCGGCUGCUGGCACGUAGUUAGCCGGUGCUUAUUCUUCAGGUACCGUCAUUAGUCCGCGGUAUUAGCGCAGACCGUUUCUUCCCUGACAAAAGCGGUUUACAACCCGAAGGCCUUCUUCCCGCACGCGGCAUGGCUGGAUCAGGGUUGCCCCCAUUGUCCAAAAUUCCCCACUGCAGCCGCCCGUAGG
rnacentral:rRNA from 1 species